AAACUUAAAUGAAUUGACGGGGGCCCGCACAAGCGGUGGAGCAUGUGGUUUAAUUCGAUGCAACGCGAAGAACCUUACCUACUCUUGACAUCCAGAGAACUUAGCAGAGAUGCUUUGGUGCCUUCGGGAACUCUGAGACAGGUGCUGCAUGGCUGUCGUCAGCUCGUGUUGUGAAAUGUUGGGUUAAGUCCCGCAACGAGCGCAACCCUUAUCCUUUGUUGCCAGCGGUUAGGCCGGGAACUCAAAGGAGACUGCCAGUGAUAAACUGGAGGAAGGUGGGGAUGACGUCAAGUCAUCAUGGCCCUUACGAGUAGGGCUACACACGUGCUACAAUGGCAUAUACAAAGAGAAGCGACCUCGCGAGAGCAAGCGGACCUCAUAAAGUAUGUCGUAGUCCGGAUUGGAGUCUGCAACUCGACUCCAUGAAGUCGGAAUCGCUAGUAAUCGUGGAUCAGAAUGCCACGGUGAAUACGUUCCCGGGCCUUGUACACACCGCCCGUCACACCAUGGGAGUGGGUUGCAAAAGAAGUAGGUAGCUUAACCUUCGGGAGGGCGCUUACCACUUUGUGAUUCAUGACUGGGGUGAAGUCGUAACAAGGUAACCGUAGGGGAACCUGCGGUUGGAUCACCUCCUUUAUG
rnacentral:rRNA from 1 species